rnacentral:lncRNA from 1 species
GUCAAGUUCAUGAACUUGCUAACAGCUUUUUAUAGGAACAGUACGUUUUCUACAUUUGAUCUGAAAGAGACACAUCUGAGGGUUCACCAGUGUCCACCUGCAUCCUGAAUUGUGGCAGCAUGGAACUCUUCACUAUCUGACAUUUUAAAACUGGCCUUGGAUACAAUGCUUUGUGUGAGAGAACAAUGGAUUCAUUAAUGGCAGAUCUUGGAUAUUGUUCAUUACUGUACCCUCCUACAAAUAACACUGGGCCUGCCAAGAAAAGAUAUUCCAUGUUUUGAAAUGAAUGCAUACAUUAUUGAGUAUCCUGGCUUUUCCUGGACAUAUUCCAAAAAGGCUGAUAAUGAUGAUGAAGGAUCCAUAAUUAUAAGAUCUCUACUGAUGAGUACAUGUCCAUGGAGGAAAAAAUAAUAAGAUGCCGAGAGGAAGAAAUCACACAACCAUUCUAUUGUGCCAGAUGGUAACUUCCCAAAGAACCAAAA